CGGCGAGUGAAGCGGCAACAGCUCAAAUUUGAAAUCUGGCCCUAGGCCCGAGUUGUAAUUUGCAGAGGAUGCUUCGGGCGCGGUGCCUUCCAAGUCCCCUGGAACGGGGCGCCGGAGAGGGUGAGAGCCCCGUACGGUUGGCGGCCAAGCCUGUGUGAAGCUCCUUCGACGAGUCGAGUAGUUUGGGAAUGCUGCUCUAAGCGGGAGGUAGACCCCUUCUAAAGCUAAAUAUAGGCCAGAGACCGAUAGCGCACAAGUAGAGUGAUCGAAAGAUGAAAAGCACUUUGAAAAGAGGGUUAAAUAGCACGUGAAAUUGUUGAAAGGGAAGCGCUUGUGACCAGACGUGCGCCGGGGUGUUCAGCGGGCGUUCUCGCCCGUGCACUCGCCUCGGCGCAGGCCAGCGUCGGUUCGAGUGGGAGGAUAAAGGCGUCUGGAAUGUGGCUCCUCCGGGAGUGUUAUAGCCAGACGUGCCAUGCUCCCGCCCGGACCGAGGUACGCGUUCUGCAAGGACGCUGGCGUAAUGGUCUCCAGCGACCCGUCUUGAAACACGGACCAAGGAGUCGAGGUUUUGCGCGAGUGUUUGGGUGUUAAACCCGCACGCGUAAUGAAAGUGAACGUAGGUGGGAGCUUCGGCGCACCACCGACCGAUCCUGAUGUUUUCGGAUGGAUUUGAGUAAGAGCGUAGGGCCUCGGACCCGAAAGAUGGUGAACUAUGCUUGGAUAGGGUGAAGCCAGAGGAAACUCUGGUGGAGGCUCGCAGCGGUUCUGACGUGCAAAUCGAUCGUCAAAUCUGAGCAUGGGGGCGAAAGACUAAUCGAACCAUCUAGUAGCUGGUUACCGCCGAAGUUCCCUCAGGAUAGCAGUGUUGUUCUUC
rnacentral:rRNA from 1 species